GACGAACGCUGGCGGCGUGCUUAACACAUGCAAGUCGAGCGGUAAGGCCCGUUUCGGGGGUACACGAGCGGCGAACGGGUGAGUAACACGUGGGUGACCUGCCUCUAGCUCUGGGAUAAGCCUGGGAAGCUGGGUCUAAUACCGGAUAUGACCUCGCGGUGCAUGUUGCGGGGUGGAAAGCCUUGUGCGGCUAGGGAUGGGCCCGCGGCCUAUCAGCUUGUUGGUGGGGUGANGGCCUACCAAGGCGACGACGGGUAGCCGGCCUGAGAGGGCGACCGGCCACA
rnacentral:rRNA from 1 species